ACAACAACAAAUUAUCUUUCUUACUAAAGCUUGUUUGGUCAAGCUAUAUGUUCACCCUAGUUUUAACCUAAUAUUUUCCCUCCAUCACCCAAACAUUUAAUUUUAAUUAAUGCUUUUCCUACUCAUCUUUCUAAGUUCAAUUUUUAAAUUCCCUGCCACAACAAUUGAUGUCUGAUGCGUAUAGGGAUUAUGGCAUGACAUUUAAUAGCGUCCACCCUCAUUUUUCUAUUUCCAACAUGCCUAUUAGUGGUCAAUUGGUGGAUAGCAACAAAGUUUGUUUCCAACGAAUUUUUAUAAAGUACGAUCAAAACACAGGUUAUGAAUUGUAUUUUGAAUUCGUCAACGGCCGCAGAUAGAAAAGAACAAAGCUGAUGGUGGUGGUGGGUUGAAGUGUCGUGUAGAAACGCAUGCUAGGAGGAGGAUAGGCCAUUAAUCCAUGAAGAACAAAGGUCGAAUGUCGUUGUUUUCUACAGAAUUUCCCCAUUUGGUUUCUCUUAUGGCGCAAAAAUCAAUUUAGCUACGCGGUGUUCUCACAUGUGUUCGGAUGUCAUUGUUAUCUGGACUUCAGUCUACUGUUGCAGCUAUUGUAUGAUGGGAUUUAUGUCAAUUGUUGAGGUGAUAAACUACUGUAUCUAGAUGUAUCUGAUAUAUUAGUUUUUCUCUUGAUUUUACUUCUAGAAAUUGUUUUCGUUCAGAGCAGUAGAUUUUUGCAAAGAUGUUUAGGAGUUUCAGACAUAUUAUUUAACAGUAGCAGAUUACUCUUCGUGUAUAUCUUGAACGGUGCAGCCAUUUUCCCCCCAAUUUUGUAUCAGUCUCUGUAAUUGCUCAAAGCAGAGUGGUAAAUUAAUGUCUCUUAUUAUUCCCAUUGUCUCGCGCGUAUUAGCACGAACCAAUGAUAGUAUUUAUCUAACUUGGGCGAUAAGAUCCGGAAAGUGGUAAAUCUAUGGUAAUUGAUCUAUUUUGUUCUUGCUUUUUUUGUGCAAUCAGCUUGAUCAAAUUUACGAAAAAUAGUUGGUCAUUUGUGUGUUAAUGGUUUGAGAAAUUGUGUUAUGUUCUUAGAGACACAAGGACACGCUAAAUUAGUGUUUGUUUUUAUUGAUGUUUUUUUUUAAUGUUAAUCCAUGAUGGCUGUUUUUGUAAGCAAUUUAAAGUAUUAGUAACUUUUUGUUUGUUAUUUGGUGUAGUUUCAGGGAGGAUGUGUAGACACUGAAACAUUGAGAACAAUGGUUCCUCAUGCUAGACAAGUGAAUGUAUUAUUGUCUCUGGUCUUACUAUACUCUCAAGCAUAAUAACUAUAAUUAGGAAUUGAAUAGUUGAAAUUUAGAGUUUGUUUUGAACCAAAGGAAUUGAACCAACCUACUGUCAUACUAUAAUAUACUCUUCUUUUGAGCAUGAAAUUAUGCUCAAGGAAUUGAACCAACCUACUAAAUUACUACUUGAAUGUCAUUAUAUGUCAUUGCUUUAUCUCUUGCAGUAUAUAGUGGAAGCUCUCAAGUUUGGAUGCUUUGCUGCAAAAUGAAUACGAUAAAGAAAAUUAUGAGAUUUAACACUUCUUAUAAAGAAAAUUAGUUUGUUUUUGCAGUGCUUUGUUUGGGAUAAUGGUUAAUUGUUGUCUAUUUUUCAGUUAGUUGUGGUCCAUUUUUAAUGAAGAAAAUGCUAAGUCACGUAUAUCAUGUAUAUAAAUCUAAGAAGGUCCUAUAAAAUUGAAUUUGGUCAAAAUAGACGAUAGGUUUAUCUAUGUGUAACUAUCACAAAGGAAAUUCAAAGUUUGUUUUAAUUUUAAUUUUAUCUUUUUGUAUAGGAUUGUUUGAAAGUUGUGAAUACUCCAUCAACCAAGUCAAGUGGAAAAAGAAGAGAAAAGGGAAUAUAAGUCACACCAAUUGAUGAUAGUGGAACACUAAGAUGUUUGAGAUUGUGUUGUAAAUGAGCAUGGUAAAUGAGUCUUCUUUAUCAAUCUUUUUUUUUAAAGGCAAUUCUUCUAAUGUAUUGUCUUCCACCUCUAUAUAUUUUAUAUUCUCAUUGCAAACGUAAAUGUUAUAUAUAGUGUUUCAUAAAUAAAACAAUUGGUUUUAAAUGGUUA